ACAGCUCAAAUUUGAAAGCUGGCCCCCCCCGGGGGUCCGCGUUGUAAUUUGUAGAGGAUGAUUCGGCGAGGGCUCCCGCCUAAGUCCCCUGGAACGGGGCGUCAUAGAGGGUGAGAAUCCCGUAUGCGGUGGGCUGCCUUAGCCAUGUGAAUCUCCUUCGACGAGUCGAGUUGUUUGGGAAUGCAGCUCUAAAUGGGAGGUAAAUUUCUUCUAAAGCUAAAUACCGGCCAGAGACCGAUAGCGCACAAGUAGAGUGAUCGAAAGAUGAAAAGCACUUUGGAAAGAGAGUUAAAAAGUACGUGAAAUUGUUGAAAGGGAAGCGCUUGCAGCCAGACUUGCCCGCAGUUGCUCAGCCGGUCUCCUGACCGGCGCACUCUUCUGCGGCCAGGCCAGCAUCAGUUCGGGCGGUCGGAUAAAGGCCCCGGGAACGUAGCUCCUCUCGGGGAGUGUUAUAGCCCGGGGUGGAAUGCGGCCAGCCUGGACUGAGGAUCUCGCUUCGGCUAGGAUGCUGGCGUAAUGGCUGUAAGCGG
rnacentral:rRNA from 1 species